rnacentral:rRNA from 1 species
GACGAACGCUGGCGGCGUGCUUAACACAUGCAAGUCGAACGGAAAGACCCUGCUUUUGUUGGUUUCUCGAUUGGCGAACGCGUGAGUAACACGUGAGUAACCUGCACUUGACUUUGUGAUAACUUCAGGAAACUGGGGCUAAUACCCGAUAGGAUCUCCUGCUGCAUGGUGUUGGUUGGAAAGUUUCGGCGGUGGUGGCUGGUUUGGCGGGUUAUGGGCUUGUUUGUGGGGUAGUUGUGUACGAAGGGUUUGACGGGUAGGCGGCCUGAGAGGGGGAACGGCGACAUUGGGCCUGAGAUACGGCGCAGACGCGUACGGGAGGCAGUAGUGGGGAAUAUUGCAGAAUGGGGGGAAGCGUGAUGCAGAGACGUCGCGUGCGUGAUGACGGCUUUCGGGUUAUAAACAGAUUUGGCAUGUGAUGAAGAGUGCGUGACGGUAAUGGGUAAAGAAGCACCGGCUAACUACGUG